rnacentral:snRNA from 1 species
GUAUAUUUCACUUUGGUACUACAUACACAAAAAUUGGAACAAUACAGAGAAGAUCAGCAUGGCUUCUUUGCAAGGAUGACAUGCAGAUUCAUGGAGAGUGACAAAAUUUUU